UUUUGAAAAACAAAGACACAAAACAAAACCAGCCCCUAUUUUAAAGACAGGUGGGUGGAGGAAAAAACACUCCUAAGAGUUAAAAACUUAGUGGUCACAAAUUCCUGUUAAAUGACAGGAAAUGCAUGUCAGGGUCUGCUCCGCCCACAGCAGCUCUUUCUCUGAGAAUUUCACCUCCAUAUCUACGGUUAUUCACAGUCCUGGCUCUUGACCACCCUGAUGCAGCUCAAGCAUGGACAAAUGACCACAACUGGGUAAUGAGAGGCCCCUCCUAGCUAUCGAGAACUCAUCCUCCGGUUCUGGAGGCCAGAGCCUUCCUCCAUGAUGCUCCACCUCACCUUGGACCCAGAGCUAUGGAGUCACCCUGUCCCUCUAUGGACUGACCCUCCAAAACCAUGAGCCAAAAUAAAUUUUUCCACCAAAAUAAAUUUU